rnacentral:misc_RNA from 1 species
CCAGGGAUGCUGUUUUGACAAUUCAAAAUAAUCUCAUUCUUCAUAAAAGACAGCAUAGUUAAUGACCUCCCAAGUGAAGGUUGAUUCCUUUGUUUAAAACCUAGCUGAGCUGCAUCGAGUAACUCUUAAAAUUAUUAAAAAGUCAAUUAAUGCAUAGAGUUCAAACUGGCACGAUGCAGCUUCAAAUACUAUAAAGGCAUCCACAUUCGAGGUAAUGUAUUAACGGAAGUGCAAGCGGACAAUGACAUCAAAGUCAAUAACCAAGCUGUCCUUCAUAUGCCCUUAAUUAAAGUAAUAAGAAACAAAAAUUGAGCAAGUACAAACAUGCCAAAAAUAUUUAGCAGUAAUUCACAUCUUUUUCCCCUCCAAUCUAAGCUCCAAGAUCAAUAGAAUUUCCAUGUACUAUACAUUUUAAGUAUUUGCAAACAGAGAAAGCAGAAUUCCAAGCAACAUACCGCAGAGCUAGUAACUAAUACUGCUUCCAUAAAUAAUAGGAAGAUACAAAAUUUGACUAAC